GUGCAGCAGCCGCGGUAAUACGGAGGGUGCGAGCGUUAAUCGGAAUUACUGGGCGUAAAGCGCGCGUAGGUGGUUUGAUAAGCUAGCUGUGAAAGCCCUGGGCUCAACCUAGGAACUGCAUCCAAAACUAACUCACUAGAGUACGAUAGAGGGAGGUAGAAUUCAUAGUGUAGCGGUGGAAUGCGUAGAUAUUAGGAAGAAUACCAGUGGCGAAGGCGGCCUCCUGGAUCUGUACUGACACUAAGGUGCGAAAGCGUGGGUAGCGAACAGGAUUAGAUA
rnacentral:rRNA from 1 species